AUGCUUCUUGUUGUAUCAUUGUUGCUAUCCUUGUUACUGUCCUUAUUACUGUCCUCGUAGCUGGUGUAUUCUUCAUUCUUGUUACCAUUUUCCAAAAUCACAAACGAAGCACUCCCGAGAAGGAUAAAUAAAAGAAAGAAGGAAGUCAUUAUUAACAUAAUACUUCCUCCUUUUU
rnacentral:ribozyme from 12 species